UUGAAAUCUGGCGCCUUCGGUGUCCGAGUUGUAAUUUGAAGAAGGUAUCUUUGGUUUUGGCUCUUGUCUAUGUUUCUUGGAACAGGACGUCAUAGAGGGUGAGAAUCCCGUCUGAUGAGAUGCCCAAUUCCAUGUAAAGUUCCUUCGACGAGUCGAGUUGUUUGGGAAUGCAGCUCUAAGUGGGUGGUAAAUUCCAUCUAAAGCUAAAUAUUGGCGAGAGACCGAUAGCGAACAAGUACUGUGAAGGAAAGAUGAAAAGAACUUUGAAAAGAGAGUGAAAAAGUACGUGAA
rnacentral:rRNA from 1 species